GUGGGAUGUGCUUGGCCGGUGAGCGCGUAAGACCUAGAGUCGCAAUCUUUGAAAGAAGGGAGUAGUGUAACGAGCAUGCUUUUGCUGCACAGUCGAUAGCGCGCCGGACCUCGGGCUCAAAGGUCGAGGGUUCGAGACCUGUUUAGGUUGUUACGAGUGUAGUGAUUUAAGUGUGAUUCACGUGACAUCCGGGCAACUAUGAGAACACUUUAUAGAGUUGUCCCUGUUGAAAUUCGAGACGGUCUAUGCAUAUUGAGGCGAGCAUAGAAUCUCACUCUCCAAUAAACACAGGCGGUUGACGUCAAUACCCCUCAUCGAGUAUUCAAAAUAGGCUUUAAAUAACCUAAUCCAAAUAGAGGAUUAGGUGGGAACUUGACAGCACGCCAUUCCGCUCUGUGGACAACGAAUCCAUUGUUGAGCAGUAGACAUAGGACAUAGGAUAGAAGCCCACAUCUCUCAAAGCCCUGAAAAGCAAACAGCUCCAUCCUUCUGCCUCCCAAUUUUCAGGACACCGACCAGACAUAGCUGACUCAAGUCUUGUGAUUCAUGCUUCUCCUAAACCAGGGUGUGGGCCUUUUGUCAAGAUUGACAGAUUGUUCAUUCAUGGUAAACAAAGAAGUAUGGGAUUGAUAGAUUGUUACACUAUGAAUAAACAAAGUUGACGUAGCCUACUUCUUACCAAA